AGAACGAACGCUGGCGGCAGGCCUAACACAUGCAAGUCGAACGCCCCGCAAGGGGAGUGGCAGACGGGUGAGUAACGCGUGGGAACGUGCCCUAAGGUACGGAACAACUCCGGGAAACUGGAGCUAAUACCGUAUGUGCCCGAGAGGGGAAAGAUUUAUCGCCUUGGGAUCGGCCCGCGUCUGAUUAGCUAGUUGGUAGGGUAACGGCCUACCAAGGCUACGAUCAGUAGCUGGUCUGAGAGGAUGACCAGCCACACUGGGACUGAGACACGGCCCAGACUCCUACGGGAGGCAGCAGUGGGGAAUAUUGGACAAUGGGCGAAAGCCUGAUCCAGCCAUGCCGCGUGAGUGAUGAAGGCCUUAGGGUUGUAAAGCUCUUUCGGUGGGGACGAUAAUGACGGUACCCGCAGAAGAAGCCCCGGCUAACUUCGUGCCAGCAGCCGC
rnacentral:rRNA from 1 species